CCUACGAGUGGCUGCAGUGAGGAAUAUUGGUCAAUGGCCGCGAGCCUGAACCAGCCAAGUCGCGUGAGGGAAGACGGCCCUACGGGUUGUAAACCUCUUUUGUCGGGGAGCAAAGCGAACCACGUGUGGUUCAUUGAGAGUACCCGAAGAAAAAGCCUCGGCUAACUCCGUGCCAGCAGCCGCGGUAAUACGGAGGAUACGAGCGUUAUCCGGAUUUAUUGGGUUUAAAGGGUACGGAGGCGGAGGUGUAAGUCAGCGGGAAAAUUGCGGGGCUCAACCCCGUACUGCCGUUGAAACUGCAUCCCUUGAGUGCGCGAGAAGUAGGCGGAAUGCGUGGUGUAGCGGUGAAAUGCAUAGAUAUCACGAAGAACUCCGAUUGCGAAGGCAGCAUACCGGCGCGCAACUGACGCUCAUGCACGAAAGCGUGGGUAUCGAACAGGAUUAGAUACCCUUGUAGUC
rnacentral:rRNA from 1 species